rnacentral:rRNA from 1 species
UACAGAGGGGGCAAGCGUUGUUCGGAAUUACUGGGCGUAAAGGGCGCGUAGGCGGCCUGCUAAGUCGAACGUGAAAUCCCCGGGCUCAACCCGGGAACUGCGUCCGAUACUGACAGGCUUGAAUCCGGGAGAGGGAUGUGGAAUUCCAGGUGUAGCGGUGAAAUGCGUAGAUAUCUGGAGGAACACCGGUGGCGAAGGCGGUUCUCUGGGCCUUACCUGACGCUGAGGCGCGAAAGCUAGGGGAGCGAACAGG